UACGAAGGGUGCAAGCGUUACUCGGAAUUACUGGGCGUAAAGCGUGCGUAGGUGGUUCGUUAAGUCUGUCGUGAAAGCCCCGGGCUUAACCUGGGGAACGGCGUUGAAGACGGUUAGACUUGAGUCGGAGAGAGGGUUGUGGAAUUUCCGGUGUAGCGGUGAAAUGCGUAGAGAUCGGAAGAACACCAGUGGCGAAGGCGCACCU
rnacentral:rRNA from 1 species